UUGUAGAUGUUAAAAGCAAGAGACAUGGGAGAGCAUCAUUCCUUUGAGAUUUUAUAACUCAAACCAACUUUGGAGUUGUCUGAUUUGGAGAGUCAUUAUUCUUGGUCUUCGCUCUUAGAGGCCACUGAUGAAGAACAGGCGGUGACUGGAUGAAUCCUGGUCAGAGAGCAGAAUCUUCUUUCCCCUAAACUGAUGCAGCGGUGGUUUUAAAGGAGGACGCUGCCCUGGAUGAUGUAGAAGAUGUCACAUGCUGUGCUGAUGGGGUUUCUUCAUGAUUACAUCAGUUAUGCUAAAGAGAUCAUGAAAAUUGACCGUGAUGCAUGAUCUGUAUUCAUGGACUAUGAAACAAACUGUAAGUGUAUAAUUUGUUAAAAAAAAAAAAAGUUAAAUGCUUUUUCUGUGUUGUUUAGUAGAAGAGUUUACACUCUGUCAUUCAUACACCUGCUCACAUUCUUUCACACACACACACACAUGCGUCUGUUAAAUGUUAUAAUAUCAAAGUUAAUGUGAUUUAUUUGUGUACUGUCAUGCCAGAAUAGUUGGAAAAAAACCUAACUAAUUGUAAAUUUAUUGUAUGUGUUUUCGUAUAUUUUUAUACAAUAUAUACAAAUGAACAAAGUCCAAUUUGAUCUUAAGUUAUAUUCAUCAAAUGUUCAAUGCUUUGUUUAUGAACUCUGUAGCUGUUAAUGCCAUCCUUUUCUGCAUUUCUUCUAACAUGUUACUUUUUGACUUUUCUCUUGUUUUUAAUAAAUAUUUUCCUUUUG